rnacentral:pre_miRNA from 14 species
UUCUUCCACAGAUGUGAAAGACCCCCAGAGCGGGGAGACCCUCACUCAAGUCUCGGGAUGAUGCGACCCCCCAAGAACUCACGUGAGACC